rnacentral:misc_RNA from 1 species
AAGUCGUAACAAGGUUUCCGUAGGUGAACCUGCGGAAGGAUCAUUAACACGUAUCCAAACGUUAAAACCCCGCCCCGUGAACAUUAAUUCCUGCUCUUGUAACCCGCGAAGCUUGAAUCUCGGGUAAAUCAUAUAGCCCGGAAAGUAGUUUUGAUUCAGAGACCUGUGGUCCGUGCGAAAAUUGGAACAGUUACAAUUCGAGUGAUUGUGCAAGGAUAACGCUUCACGAUUCUUGUAGGGCAGGAGCUAGGCCAAAGAGUCCCCAUGCCCCCUUACAACCCCACAGUUAAAUGUGAAGCUCAAUGUAAUACAUUGGGUAAAAAACCGAACAACUGUUAACAAUGGAUAUCUUGGUUCUC